rnacentral:lncRNA from 1 species
CUGGGCCCGGGGAUGGGAAACUUCACAGAACAAGGGACUUGGGCCACAUGCACGGCCACCUCCCCAGCCACGUGACUCUUGGUGAGGGUGGGGUAGAACUUACUCAAUGAAGACAUUGUUUUUUCUUUUUAAAAAGAAUUCAAAGUUCAUCUCAUUCCUAUUCUUGGCGGAUUGGCCACCUAGCCUGCGUGUAGCCUUUUUCUUCUCUGCUGCUAAACAGAACCUCUUUUCCUUGAGAAGGAAAGAAGUCGGAAGAGAGGAAGACGGAAGAAAUCGCUGCUCAGCGCAUCCGUGUGAGGUCCCGGGUAUUCUGUGAGGAAAGGCUGGCGCAGGCCCGCCGCGCCCUCGGCCUCGGGGAAGGAGGUGAACACAGAAGGGGGUGCCGGGCCCACGGCUGAGACACCUGAGAGGACGCCUGCAGCCCGGGUGACCACAGCAGGGGCUUGGGUGAGGCCCGGGGCCCAGGUCUCUGGAAGUGAGGGAGGGUUUCAGAGGAGCAUGGUGGGCGGGCCAUUCCCAGAGGAGCCUGCAGCAGGCAGGAUCCGGGGAUCACGGCCAACAUGGCGGCCACGCUGGGAGAGAAGAACCUGGUGGGCGCACAGGACUAGCGGCUGGGCCGCUCUCCCAGGCAGGAGAGUGUCUGGGUCUACACCCUGCAUGGACGGUGCCGGGCGGAGCUGCAGACAGACCCCGGGACCCAAGGCUACGUGUGUAGACACAGGGCUCCGCCAGCCAGACCCAUCCUGGCCGUGGGACAUUGCAAACGGGCUCCCUCUGGCCAUCACCUCUGACCAGACCCAGCCUCUGGGUCUUCUGGAGUCACUGACAUGGUAUGGAAAAUAAAGCUGGGCUUAGGCUCCUGAGGGGGCCUUGGCAUUCGCCACCCACCGCCAGGACGAGCUCCCGAAGACCCGCGGGGGUUCAACACCAGCUCCAUCACCAUGCAUGCACCAGCUGACGCCGGGGAGCGGCCAGGUCCCAGGGCAGGGGCGAGAGAGUCAGCCCCACCCCCGCCCCGCCCCCACCCCCCAAAUUCUGGGAAAGUGCUGGGCCCCCUGGCCUGCGUUUUGGCUGCGGCUUCAUUUACACGCAGCUGUUUCUCCAAGGUGCCUCCAGCAGAAUUUCAGACGAAUUCUCCCACGAAAUAUUUUCCCCUUGAAAAGUGUUAGGUAAUUAACACCCCCCAGGUCACCAGCGGCACAGUCCCGGCGAGACAGCCACCAGGAAGGUGAAGGCGAGAAGAGCUCUCCACUAGCGUCAGCGGCAAACCAGGGGACCGGGGGGCAGGAAGCCCGAGCCCCCCUCGUGCCUGUUUUCAGUCUAAUUUCCUUUUCUAAGAAGCAUUUAUUCUGACAUAGAUAAGAAGGUUUCCUCAUGCAGAAAAACAAAAAGAACAACAAAUGG